UCGGUAGUAGCGGGAGAGCUUGGCGCAUCUCACAAGGAUGACGCCAGCGCCGAAGGAGCAACAACCCCGGAAACUCUCAGGCAACCGGACCGCUAUUACCCA
rnacentral:ncRNA from 2 species